rnacentral:rRNA from 1 species
UACGUAGGGGGCGAGCGUUGUCCGGAGUUACUGGGCGUAAAGGGCAUGCAGGCGGUCGGACGCGUUUUGUGUGACAGCGGGUGGCUUAACUGCCCGAGUAUGCGAAAGACGGUCCGACUUGAGGGCUCGAGAGGGACACGGAAUUCCGGGUGGAGUGGUGAAAUGCGUAGAGAUCCGGAGGAACACCAAAGGCGAAGGCAGUGUCCUGGUGAGCACCUGACGCUGAGGUGCGAAAGCUAGGGGAGCGAACGG